rnacentral:lncRNA from 1 species
UUGCCCAAGAGGAAGACCGAAGGGGAUGUUAAAGGAGAUAAAGCCAAGGUGGACACACCUCAGAGAAGAUCCACAAGGUUGUCUGCUAAACCUGCUCCUCCAAAGCCAGAGCCCAAGCCUAAAAAGGCCCCUGCAAAGAAGGGAGAGAAGGUACCUAAAGGGAAAAAGGGAAAAGCUGAUGCUGGCAAGGAGGGGAAUUACCCUGCAGAAAAAGGAGAUGCCAUAACAGACCAGGCCAGGGAAGCUGAAGGUGAUGGAGAGGCCAAGUGA